AUUGAACGCUGGCGGCAGGCCUAACACAUGCAAGUCGAGCGGUUGAAGGGAGCUUGCUUCUGGAUUCAGCGGCGGACGGGUGAGUAAUUCCUAGGAAUCUGCCUGGUAUUGGGGGAUAACGUCCGGAAACGGGCGCUAAUACCGCAUACGUUCUGAGGGAGAAAGUGGGGGAUCUUCGGACCUCACGCUAUCAGCUGAGCCUAGAUCGGAUUAGGUAGUUGGUGGGGUAACGGCCUACCAAGGCGACGAUCCGUACCUGGUCUGAGAGGAUGAUCAGUCACACUGGAACUGAGACACGGCCCAGACUCCUACGGGAGGCAGCAGUGGGGAAUAUUGGACAAGGGGCGAAAGCCUGAUCCAGACAUGCCGCGUGUGUGAAGAAGGUCUUCGGAUUGUAAAGCACUUUAAGUUGGGAGGAAGGGCAGUAAGUUAAUACCUUGCUGUUUUGACGGUACCAACAGAAUAAGCACCGGCUAACUUCGUG
rnacentral:rRNA from 1 species